GACGAACGCUGGCGGCGUGCUUAACACAUGCAAGUCGAACGGAAAGGCCCUGCUUUUGUGGGGUGCUCGAGUGGCGAACGGGUGAGUAACACGUGAGUAACCUGCCCUUGACUUUGGGAUAACUUCAGGAAACUGGGGCUAAUACCGGAUAGGAGCUCAUGCUGCAUGGUGGGGGUUGGAAAGUUUCGGCGGUUGGGGAUGGACUCGCGGCUUAUCAGCUUGUUGGUGGGGUAGUGGCUUACCAAGGCUUUGACGGGUAGCCGGCCUGAGAGGGUGACCGGCCACAUUGGGACUGAGAUACGGCCCAGACUCCUACGGGAGGCAGCAGUGGGGAAUAUUGCACAAUGGGCGGAAGCCUGAUGCAGCAACGCCGCGUGCGGGAUGACGGCCUUCGGGUUGUAGACCGCUUUCGCCUGUGACGAAGCGUGAGUGACGGUAAUGGGUAAAGAAGCACCGGCUAACUACGUG
rnacentral:rRNA from 1 species